ACGCGAACAGGAAAUGGCAGUCAUCAAGGUGAAGAAGGGCGCCUCAUACGUCAUCUACUGGAUACUGGAUAUGACGUCAGGGAAAGACCUUUCGUCCAAGAUGGCGGACCAGUUCUCUUCAACUUGAGUCUUCAUCUUAUUGCAAUUUCAGAUCUCAACGCCCGGACUCAGAUAUUGUCUGGAAUAUCUUGGUUUCUCGUGGACUGGUACGAUGAUAGGCUGACUUGGGAUCCUAAGGACUAUGCUGGCAUAGGAUCUUUUACUGUCAACAUCGAUCAAACAUGGUCACCAAAAUUAUACCUUCAAAACACUGUUCUUGACGAGCCGGUGAACCCUAUUAAACAUGACGUCAGUCAAACGUAUAUCAGCUAUGACGGACAUGUACAUCUAGAAUCACCAUUGUUACAUCAUACAUCAUGUGACUUAGAUCUUCAGAAGUUUCCAUUUGACGUGCAGGAAUGCGGGUAAAGUUUCGUCGGAUUUAUCUUAUGAAGAAGGGUCCAUUGUGUAAUAACUAUACAUACAUGACUUAUUCAAUGAUAGAUCACUUGGAAACAUUAGUAUUAAGCGUUACAUAAAUGCAACUGUUAUCAUUAUUAUUCUCAUCAUCAUCAUUAGUUGAAG